rnacentral:rRNA from 1 species
AGAGUUUGAUCAUGGCUCAGAACGAACGCUGGCGGCGUGCUUAACACAUGCAAGUCGAGUGCGCGGUUGUAGCAAUACAACUGGCGCACGGCGCACGGGUGCGUAACACGUGGGUAACCUGCCCUUUGGUGGGGAAUAACCCCGGGAAACCGGGGCUAAUUCCGCAUAAGAUCCGCAAGGAUGAAAGCCGUAAGGCGCCGAUGGAGGGGCCCGCGCACGAUUAGCUAGUUGGUGAGGUAAUGGCUCACCAAGGCUGUGAUCGUUAGCUGGUCUGAGAGGAUGGCCAGCCACACUGGAACUGAGACACGGUCCAGACUCCUACGGGAGGCAGCAGUGGGGAAUCUUGCACAAUGGGCGAAAGCCUGAUGCAGCGACGCCGCGUGGGGGAUGAAGCAUCUCGGUGUGUAAACCCCUUUCGACCCGGACGAAUACCUCGCAAGAGGGGUGACGGUACGGGUAUAAGAAGCCCCGGCUAACUACGUGCCAGCAGCCGCGGUAAGACGUAGGGGGCCAGCGUUGUUCGGAAUUACUGGGUGUAAAGGGUCAGUAGGCGGUGUGGCAAGUUGGGAGUGAAAUCUAUGGGCUCAACCCAUAGGCUGCUUCCAAAACUGCUGUGCUUGAGUGUGGGAGAGGCGCGUGGAAUUGCAGGUGUAGCGGUGAAAUGCGUAGAUAUCUGCAGGAACACCCGUGGCGAAAGCGGCGCGCUGGACCACAACUGACGCUGAAUGACGAAAGCUAGGGGAGCAAACAGGAUUAGAUACCCUGGUAGUCCUAGCCCUAAACGAUCAGGACUUGGGGUGCCACCCGUUCGGGUGUCGUCCCGGAGCUAACGCGUUAAGUCCUGCACCUGGGGGAGUACGGUCGCAAGACUGAAACUCAAAAGGAAUUGACGGGGGGCCCGCACAAAGCGGUGGGAACAUGUGGGUUCAAUUCCGACGCUACCCCGAGGAACCUUUACCUGGGGUUCGAA